rnacentral:rRNA from 1 species
GAUGAACGCUGGCGGCGUGCUUAACACAUGCAAGUCGAACGGAAAGGCUCCUGCUUGCAGGGGUACUCGAGUGGCGAACGGGUGAGUAACACGUGGGUGAUCUGCCCUGCACUUCGGGAUAAGCCUGGGAAACUGGGUCUAAUACCGGAUAGGACCACAUCUUGGAUGGUGUGGUGGAAAGUUUUUCGGUGUGGGAUGGGCUCGCGGCCUAUCGGCUUGUUGGUGGGGUAAUGGCCUACCAAGGCGUCGACGGGUAGCCGGCCUGGGAGGGUGUCCGGCCAAAUUGGGACGGAGAUACGGCCCAGACUCCUACGGGGGGCAGCGGUGGGGAAUAUUGCAAAAUGGGCGCAAGCCUGAUGCAGCGACGCCGCGUGGGGGAUGACGGCCUUCGGGUUUUAAACUCCUUUCGCUGGGGCCGAAGCGCAAGUGACGGUACCUGGAGAAGAAGCACCGGCUAACUACGUG